rnacentral:rRNA from 1 species
CUAAGAGCGAAUGGUGGAUGCCUUGACUGGUAAAGGCGAUGAAGGACGUACUAGACUGCGAUAAGCUACGGGGAGCUGUCAAGAAGCUUUGAUCCGUAGAUUUCCGAAUGGGGCAACCCAAUGUAUAGAGAUAUACAUUACCUAUAUAGGAGCGAACGAGGGGAAUUGAAACAUCUUAGUACCCUCAGGAAAAGAAAUCAAUAGAGAUUGCGUCAGUAGCGGCGAGCGAAAGCGCAAGAGGGCAAACCCAGUGCUUGCACUGGGGGUUGUAGGACUGCAAUGUGCAAGAGGUAAGUUUAGCAGAACAUUCUGGAAAGUAUAACCAUAGAGGGUGAUAGUCCCGUAUGCGAAAAACAAACCUUAGCUAGCAGUAUCCUGAGUAGGGCGGGACACGAGGAAUCCUGUCUGAAUCCGGGUCGACCACGAUCCAACCCUAAAUACUAAUACCAGAUCGAUAGUGCACAAGUACCGUGAGGGAAAGGUGAAAAGAACUGAGGUGAUCAGAGUGAAAUAGAACCUGAAACCAUUUGCUUACAAUCAUUCAGAGCCCUAUGUAGCAAUACAGGGUGAUGGACUGCCUUUUGCAUAAUGAGCCUGCGAGUUGUGGUGUCUGGCAAGGUUAAGCAAACGCGAAGCCGUAGCGAAAGCGAGUCUGAAUAGGGCGCUUAGUCAGAUGCUGCAGACCCGAAACGAAGUGAUCUAUCCAUGAGCAAGUUGAAGCUAGUGUAAGAACUAGUGGAGGACUGAACCCAUAGGCGUUGAAAAGCCCCGGGAUGACUUGUGGAUAGGGGUGAAAGGCCAAUCAAACUUCGUGAUAGCUGGUUCUCUCCGAAAUAUAUUUAGGUAUAGCGUUGUGUCGUAAUAUAAGGGGGUAGAGCACUGAAUGGGCUAGGGCAUACACCAAUGUACCAAACCCUAUCAAACUCCGAAUACCUUAUAUGUAAUCACAGCAGUCAGGCGGCGAGUGAUAAAAUCCGUCGUCAAGAGGGAAACAACCCAGACUACCAGCUAAGGUCCCUAAAUCUUACUUAAGUGGAAAACGAUGUGAAGUUACUUAAACAACCAGGAGGUUGGCUUAGAAGCAGCCAUCCUUUAAAGAAAGCGUAAUAGCUCACUGGUCUAGUGAUUUUGCGCGGAAAAUAUAACGGGGCUAAAGUAAGUACCGAAGCUGUAGACUUGCACACAACUUAGAUUAUUUAAGUUUAGAAUAUGAGAAACUAAGUUAUAUGUUUAGUUAUAUUUUUACUGAUUUUUAUAGAGUAAAGAUAGAAAUAAAACUUAGUAAAAUCAGUAAAAAUAUUCUUAGACUAAAGUUAAGUAGUUUAAGUUGUGUGCAAGUGGUAGGAGAGCGUUCUAUUUGCGUCGAAGGUAUACCGGUAAGGAGUGCUGGAGCGAAUAGAAGUGAGCAUGCAGGCAUGAGUAGCGAUAAUUAAUGUGAGAAUCAUUAACGCCGUAAACCCAAGGUUUCCUACGCGAUGCUCGUCAUCGUAGGGUUAGUCGGGUCCUAAGUCGAGUCCGAAAGGGGUAGACGAUGGCAAAUUGGUUAAUAUUCCAAUACCAACAUUAGUGUGCGAUGGAAGGACGCUUAGGGCUAAGGGGGCUAGCGGAUGGAAGUGCUAGUCUAAGGUCGUAGGAGGUUAUACAGGCAAAUCCGUAUAACAAUACUCCGAGAACUGAAAGGCUUUUUGAAGUCUUCGGAUGGAUAGAAGAACCCCUGAUGCCGUCGAGCCAAGAAAAGUUUCUAAGUUUAGCUAAUGUUGCCCGUACCGUAAACCGACACAGGUGGGUGGGAUGAGUAUUCUAAGGCGCGUGGAAGAACUCUCUUUAAGGAACUCUGCAAAAUAGCACCGUAUCUUCGGUAUAAGGUGUGGUUAGCUUUGUAUUAGGAUUUACUCCGAAAGCAAGGAAACUUACAACAAAGAGUCCCUCCCGACUGUUUACCAAAAACACAGCACUCUGCUAACUCGUAAGAGGAUGUAUAGGGUGUGACGCCUGCCCGGUGCUCGAAGGUUAAUUGAUGGGGUUAGCAUUAGCGAAGCUCUUGAUCGAAGCCCGAGUAAACGGCGGCCGUAACUAUAACGGUCCUAAGGUAGCGAAAUUCCUUGUCGGUUAAAUACCGACCUGCAUGAAUGGCGUAACGAGAUGGGAGCUGUCUCAAAGAGGGAUCCAGUGAAAUUGUAGUGGAGGUGAAAAUUCCUCCUACCCGCGGCAAGACGGAAAGACCCCGUGGACCUUUACUACAGCUUGACACUGCUACUUGGAUAAGAAUGUGCAGGAUAGGUGGGAGGCUUUGAGUAUAUGACGCCAGUUGUAUAUGAGCCAUUGUUGAGAUACCACUCUUUCUUAUUUGGGUAGCUAACCAGCUUGAGUUAUCCUCAAGUGGGACAAUGUCUGGUGGGUAGUUUGACUGGGGCGGUCGCCUCCCAAAUAAUAACGGAGGCUUACAAAGGUUGGCUCAGAACGGUUGGAAAUCGUUCGUAGAGUAUAAAGGUAUAAGCCAGCUUAACUGCAAGACAUACAAGUCAAGCAGAGACGAAAGUCGGUCUUAGUGAUCCGGUGGUUCUGUGUGGAAGGGCCAUCGCUCAAAGGAUAAAAGGUACCCCGGGGAUAACAGGCUGAUCUCCCCCAAGAGCUCACAUCGACGGGGAGGUUUGGCACCUCGAUGUCGGCUCAUCGCAUCCUGGGGCUGGAGCAGGUCCCAAGGGUAUGGCUGUUCGCCAUUUAAAGCGGUACGCGAGCUGGGUUCAGAACGUCGUGAGACAGUUCGGUCCCUAUCUGCCGUGGGCGUAAGAAGAUUGAAGAGAUUUGACCCUAGUACGAGAGGACCGGGUUGAACAAACCACUGGUGUAGCUGUUGUUCUGCCAAGAGCAUCGCAGCGUAGCUAAGUUUGGAAAGGAUAAACGCUGAAAGCAUCUAAGCGUGAAGCCAACUCUAAGAUGAAUCUUCUCUAAGCUCUCUAGAAGACUACUAGUUUGAUAGGCUGGGUGUGUAAUGGAUGAAAGUCCUUUAGCUGACCAGUACUAAUAGAGCGUUUGGCUUAUCU